rnacentral:rRNA from 1 species
GACGAACGCUGGCGGCGUGCUUAACACAUGCAAGUCGAACGGAAAGGCCCUGCUUUUGUGGGGUGCUCGAGUGGCGAACGGGUGAGUAACACGUGAGUAACCUGCCCUUGACUUUGGGAUAACUUCAGGAAACUGGGGCUAAUACCGGAUAGGAGCUCCUGCUGCAUGGUGGGGGUUGGAAAGUUUCGGCGGUUGGGGAUGGACUCGCGGCUUAUCAGCUUGUUGGUGGGGUAGUGGCUUACCAAGGCUUUGACGGGUAGCCGGCCUGAGAGGGUGACCGGCCAUAUUGGGACUGAGAUACGGCCCAGACUCCUACGGGAGGCAGCAGUGGGGAAUAUUGCACAAUGGGCGGAAGCCUGAUGCAGCAACGCUGCGUGCGGGAUGACGGCCUUCGGGUUGUAAACCGCUUUCGCCUGUGACGAAGCGUGAGUGACGGUAAUGGGUAAAGAAGCACCGGCUAACUACGUG